rnacentral:rRNA from 1 species
UAAUACGGAGGAUUCAAGCGUUAUCCGGAUUUAUUGGGUUUAAAGGGUGCGUAGGCGGUUUGAUAAGUUAGAGGUGAAAUUUCGGGGCUCAACCCUGAACGUGCCUCUAAUACUGUUGAGCUAGAGAGUAGUUGCGGUAGGCGGAAUGUAUGGUGUAGCGGUGAAAUGCUUAGAGAUCAUACAGAACACCGAUUGCGAAGGCAGCUUACCAAACUAUAUCUGACGUUGAGGCACGAAAGCGUGGGGAGCAAACAGGAUUAGAUACCCUGGUAGUCCACGCAGUAAACGAUGAUAACUCGUUGUCGGCGAUACACAGUCGGUGACUAAGCGAAAGCGAUAAGUUAUCCACCUGGGGAGUACGUUCGCAAGAAUG